UACGUAGGGUCCGAGCGUUGUCCGGAAUUACUGGGCGUAAAGAGCUCGUAGGUGGUUUGUCGCGUUGUUCGUCGAAAACUCACAGCUUAACUGUGGGCGUGCGGGCGAUACGGGCAGACUUGAGUACUGCAGGGGAGACUGGAAUUCCUGGUGUAGCGGUGGAAUGCGCAGAUAUCAGGAGGAACACCGGUGGCGAAGGCGGGUCUCUGGGCAGUAACUGACGCUGAGGAGCGAAAGCGUGGGGAGCGAACAGG
rnacentral:rRNA from 1 species